UAAUUGAAGAGUUUGAUCAUGGCUCAGAUUGAACGCUGGCGGCAGGCCUAACACAUGCAAGUCGAGCGGUAACAGGGGAAGCUUGCUUCCCGCUGACGAGCGGCGGACGGGUGAGUAAUGUAUGGGGAUCUGCCCGAUAGAGGGGGAUAACUACUGGAAACGGUAGCUAAUACCGCAUAAUCUCUAAGGAGCAAAGCAGGGGAACUU
rnacentral:rRNA from 1 species